rnacentral:rRNA from 1 species
GCCUUGAUGUGUAGGAUAGGUGGGAGGCUUUGAAGCGUGGACGCCAGUCUGCGUGGAGCCGACCUUGAAAUACCACCCUUUAAUGUUUGAUGUUCUAACGUGGACCCGUAAUCCGGGUUGCGGACAGUGUCUGGUGGGUAGUUUGACUGGGGCGGUCUCCUCCUAAAGAGUAACGGAGGAGCACGAAGGUUGGCUAAUCCUGGUCGGACAUCAGGAGGUUAGUGCAAUGGCAUAAGCCAGCUUGACUGCGAGCGUGACGGCGCGAGCAGGUGCGAAAGCAGGUCAUAGUGAUCCGGUGGUUCUGAAUGGAAGGGCCAUCGCUCAACGGAUAAAAGGUACUCCGGGGAUAACAGGCUGAUACCGCCCAAGAGUUCAUAUCGACGGCGGUGUUUGGCACCUCGAUGUCGGCUCAUCACAUCCUGGGGCUGAAGUAGGUCCCAAGGGUAUGGCUGUUCGCCAUUUAAAGUGGUACGCGAGCUGGGUUUAGAACGUCGUGAGACAGUUCGGUCCCUAUCUGCCGUGGGCGCUGGAGAACUGAGGGGGGCUGCUCCUAGUACGAGAGGACCGGAGUGGACGCAUCACUGGUGUUCGGGUUGUCAUGCCAAUGGCACUGCCCGGUAGCUAAAUGCGGAAGAGAUAAGUGCUGAAAGCAUCUAAGCACGAAACUUGCCCCGAG